UUAUUAAAUGCAUGCAUUACUGAGACUGGAGUAGAAGAAAAAGAUUACUUAAAUCAAAGCACAAGUCUUCCCAACAGUGAGAUAACAAGCGUGUAGAAUCAGCAGAACAGUGUGGAAAAACGAAAGAAGAUUCUAAAUCCAGAAGGGACCCUAAAGAAUGGUGGUUUUUCAAGUUUUCCGGAUCAGGCUUCCUGCCUGGAGGGUUGGGAUCUUCUUUCCAGAAAUCUGCAUUGUUGUUCAGAUCCAGAAUCCGUCUGUGGUCUUCGGUUGCUGGGAGGCCCAGCGGCCCUGACCUAUACAAGCAUCUUCCCUGCCUGACUCCCAGGGCUCCAGGCGGUAUGUUGACUCAGGGCUUUGGCAUUUAUGUUUGCUCU